UCCCGGGUGGUGCAAUCGGUAGCACGCUUGGCUCUGGACCAAGUAGUCGAGGUUCGAAUCCUUGCCUGGGAG
rnacentral:tRNA from 1 species